rnacentral:rRNA from 1 species
CACGUAGGGGGCAAGCGUUGUCCGGAUUUAUUGGGCGUAAAGAGCUCGUAGGUGGUUCGGUAAGUCAGGUGUGAAACCUCCAGGCUCAACCUGGAGACGCCACUUGAUACUGCUGUGACUGGAGUCCGGUAGGGGAGCGUGGAAUUCCUGGUGUAGCGGUGAAAUGCGCAGAUAUCAGGAGGAACACCAAUGGCGAAGGCAACUUCCUGGGGCAAUACUGACACUGAUGUGCGAAAGCGUGGGGAGCAAACAGG